GACGAACGCUGGCGGCGUGCUUAACACAUGCAAGUCGAACGGAAAGGCCCUGCUUUUGUGGGGUGCUCGAGUGGCGAACGGGUGAGUAACACGUGAGUAACCUGCCCUUGACUUUGGGAUAACUUCAGGAAACUGGGGCUAAUACCGGAUCGGAGCUCCUGCUGCAUGGUGGGGGUUGGAAAGUUUCGGCGGUUGGGGAUGGACUCGCGGCUUAUCAGCUUGUUGGUGGGGUAGUGGCUUACCAAGGCUUUGACGGGUAGCCGGCCUGAGAGGGUGACCGGCCACGUUGGGACUGAGAUACGGGCCAGACUCCUACGGGAGGCAGCAGUGGGGAAUAUUGCACAAUGGGCGGAAGCCUGAUGCAGCAACGCCGCGUGCGGGAUGACGGCCUUCGGGUUGUAAACCGCUUUCGCCUGUGACGAAGCGUGAGUGACGGUAAUGGGUAAAGGAGCACCGGCUAGCUACGUG
rnacentral:rRNA from 1 species